AUACUUACCUGGCAGGGGAGACACGAUGAUCAUGAAGGUGGUUUUCCCAUUCGACUGACCCCUGUGAUUUCAUCAAGUGCAGGAAACUUGACUGCAUAAUUUGAGGUAGUGAGGGGCUGCAUUCGCACUUUCUUC
rnacentral:snRNA from 1 species